AACGAACGCUGGCGGCAGGCUUAACACAUGCAAGUCGAGCGCCCCGCAAGGGGAGCGGCAGACGGGUGAGUAACGCGUGGGAAUCUACCCUUUUCUACGGAAUAACGCAGGGGAACUUGUGCUAAUACCGUAUGAGCCCUUCGGGGGAAAGAUUUAUCGGGAAAGGAUGAGCCCGCGUUGGAUUAGCUAGUUGGUGGGGUAAAGGCCUACCAAGGCGACGAUCCAUAGCUGGUCUGAGAGGAUGAUCAGCCACAUUGGGACUGAGACACGGCCCAAACUCCUACGGGAGGCAGCAGUGGGGAAUAUUGGACAAUGGGCGCAAGCCUGAUCCAGCCAUGCCGCGUGAGUGAUGAAGGCCCUAGGGUUGUAAAGCUCUUUCACCGGUGAAGAUAAUGACGGUAACCGGAGAAGAAGCCCCGGCUAACUUCGUGCCAGCCGCCGCCGUAAGAC
rnacentral:rRNA from 1 species